GUACCUGUGAGCCCCUUGAGCUCGCUGCUCUCUUGCUGUCUCUAGAGGCUGUGGGUAAGGCCCUCUCACAUCCUAGCUCUGUGGCUUUCGCAUUAUAAGCUUUCAGACUUUAUUUGAGCAUUUCUUUUUCCAGACUGGGUCCAGAAGCUGGCCAGAGGUCCAACUUGGAAAUGGGACUGAGUCCGAUUUGGAGACUAGACUGGGUCCAGCAACAGACUGGGUCCGACUCAGAAACCGGACUAAGUCCAGUCCGGGUCUGACUUAAGCUGCACUUGGUCCCGUGUGAGACCUCAAAUGAAUAAAAUUUUCUUUGAAGGCUGAAAAAGUAGCUUAACUUAACCAAAGUUAAUCUUGAAUUACAGUGGCCACAGUGGAGAACUUUUAACCUGGAUAAGCUUAUCUCUUUAUGAGGUGCCCUAGAGAAAAAGGGCUCUCAGCCGAGCUCCCUCCGUAAAGGAUAGAGGGGAAAUUAUUUUUCCUCCUCUGAGGUUUCUGGUGACCAGGAUGAGACCCGCCGGGACAUCCCACUCACUCCAGAGCCUGCAGACAGACUCCAGCAAAGGAGCCCCACCUUGAUGAUCUGGAGGACUUUAUGCCAACGUGGUCAAACUGACUGUAAGGAAGAAGGGCUGCUUGGAGUGAAGUUAAGAAGACUUCCGCCCCAAAUCUUCAUCCUGCCAGGUAGCCCUGGUAUAUAUAAAGACCCCUUCAAAGCAAGCACUAGAGGACUACACAGAGAGUGCCCGUGUGUCAGUGAAUUUGUCCUUCAACGUGAGCCCCUGUGGAGAACUACUAUUACCAUCCACAUUGAACAGGUUAAGCCUUGCUGGCCUUCAUACUCCUUGUCUUGAUUUCAGGCUAUGCUGAAAGGUGACAGAGAGACUGUGCUUUGGUUGGAAGAAACGGUUCUAGCCCCAGAGAUAAGAAAAGACAAAAUUGUCUCUACCUCUCUUCCCAGGGAGUCAGCUCUAGUGUCACCUAGAAAACAUAAAUUAGACAUGUGAACUUUGGUCCUGAAUGUGAGAAACCAGAUCUUUUCCAAAUGAUCUGUUCAAGACUAGACUCUAAGUCUAGAAGGUAAGGCGCUCAGUAAAGCGACAGGUCAAAAAGGUAUUUCUCAAAUCAGAAAAGCAUGCAAAGACACCUACCAGAUAAACUCAGCAGGACCAAGGCACAGAGAAGAAAGAUGCCUGUUACCUUCAUGGCGAAGUUUUGUGUCCGGAGCUCAGUCAAAAUCUGCAGUGAACUUACCACUUCUCUUCAGAACCCUGGGAGUGGCGGGGUCACAUAGGCAGGAUGGCAACCCAGGCUCCACCUGCUGCCCUGUGUCACAGAGAUCCUUAGUUAUUGAUUGACUAGUACCAUAGCUUGGCCCCCAGGUUU
rnacentral:lncRNA from 1 species